ACACGUAUUCUGUCAUUUCCAUUGUACGUAGUUAUUAUACCAUGGCUAUGAGCCAAUUAGACUGCUUGAUUUGAGCUACUCGUUUUAUAAAGAUUUAUUGUC